AUGUCUGUCAACGCUAUGGAGUUGGUGUGUUGGAACGUCAGAGGCCUUAACAACCCGGCCAAGAGGAAGGCUCUUAGAGGAUUUGUUGACUCGGUGAACGCGACGAUUGUAUGUAUUUUAGAAACCAAGCUAGAGGUAAUGAACAUUUUUGUAAUCCUGCAAUGCAUGGGGCCAAACUAUGAUGGUUUUACCUAUUUACCGGCGUCGGAGACGAGGGGUGGCAUCUUUGUUGCUUGGGACACCACUCGAGUGAUGGUUACUAACUUUGUCAAUGACUCUCAUUGCAUCACGGGGUAUGUCUCGCCUAAGGAGGGGACACCUUGGUGGCUUACCGUAGUAUAUGGUCCGCAAGAGGAUGAACAUAAGAUCAAUUUCUUGAAUGAGCUCUCGGAGAGAAGAUCGCUCUGUCCGGGGCCAUGGCUUGUGGUUGGGGACUUUAAUCUUAUCCUAUACGCGGCGGAUAAGAAUAACUCCAAUUUAGACCGGAGAAUGAUGGGGAAAUUCAAGCGUUUCGUGGAUAACAACGCGCUCAAGGAGCUAUUUUUGCAUGGGCGAAAGUUCACGUGGAGUAACGAAAGGGAGACGCCCACGCUUACCAAGAUCGACCGUGCGUUCGUUUCAGUGGAUUGGGAGAUAGAUCACCAGGAUUGUUUGUUGCAAGCCCUGUCCACGGAGUAUUCCGAUCAUUGCCCAUUGCAUCUCACACUCCAUGAGCCAAUGCACUAUAAAAAGAGGUUCCGCUUCGAGAAGUUUUGGGUUAAAAUGGAGGGUUUUCUGGAUAUCGUAAAGGAGGCAUGGGUUUGUGACCCCGAUAUCACGGAUCCUUUCUUGAGGCUGGACAUGUUACUUCGCAACACGGCUAGAGCCCUUGCCGCUUGGGGACAAAGAGAGAUUGGUAAUAUCAAGUUGCAGAUCGCCAUUGCAAACAUUGUUAUCUUGAGGUUCGACUGCGCCAUGGAAAAUCGUAGGCUCACGGAGGAGGAGAGAUGGCUAAGAAGAACUCUGAAGCAACUGGUACUUGGGUUGGCAUCGUUAGAGAGAACCAUUGUGAGACAAAGGUCUAGAAUAUCUUGGCUUCAAGAAGGGGAUGCUAACACUCGCUUGUUUCAUUUGGUGGCGAAUGGGAGGCGUAUGAAGAAC
rnacentral:rRNA from 1 species